AUUUCAGGAAAGAACCCCAAAACACUGACAUUUUCAAUAUUCUCAUCCACAAUUGUGAAGGAUUAUUUGAAAUACAAAAGCAGUAAGUGAAAACACUUUUUCCUAUAGCUUUUUUCCUCCAAAUAUUUUUUCUGAAAAGUGUUUUCUGUUUUAUAGUCCUGUGUUACCUCAGACUUGAAAAUAUAUAGCAAACUUGAAACAUAUAUAAUACAAAUGAUUUAAGAAACUAUUUUACAAACUGCUGAAUGUAUAUAUUUGCCCCCAAAUUCACCUUUAAUAGCAUUGAUUUGAAUUGGCUCCCAAAUUCCAGAAAUUCAUCUUAUUCCAAGCUUAUUUCACCUUUCCCCCUUUAAUUAAUCUUGCUGAUCUUCUAACAGAAAAAUAACAUCGAUGAGGAGGGAAGAAGA
rnacentral:lncRNA from 1 species